CGUUGAUUAAGGAGUUGUUCC
rnacentral:miRNA from 1 species